UAAGACUGUUACAAUGUGAAGCCCAUUUGUAUCCCAUUGCCAGUGAAACAGUAGGAAUUACUUCCACCAAUCUAAAACAUAUUCGCAGCACCAGAGCUCAAAGACAUGAAUCUCUGUGAAAUCGCCUAAGGUCGAGUUGCUUAUGUAAUAGGCAACCAACCUGCCUAAUGCAAACAGAAGAACAAAGACCAUUCACGCAUACCCAUUACCUGUUUAGCAUGUUUUUCAAAUUCCAAAGCCAAACUAAUCAUCCUACCCAUCAUCAUCAUCACCACCAUCUCCCUUCACCACCUUCCUUCAUCUCCUUCACCACAUACCACCCAUUAUUUCGGGUCCACGUUCUACAAGUGCUGAUUGGCGCAGAGCAACCAGUGCUUGAAUCCUCAGCUACUUCAGAUACCUGUAAUCCAAUCCAAGCAUGGCAUACACAUUUUAACUUCUAAAUCUUAUUAUUGAGCGAAACAAGAAACAAACACACAAAAAGAAAAGCAACAAAUCAAGACAAUUCAGCAGCACCUCUGAUUGAGCUCUUAUUGAACCAUUUGGUGUAGUAGCAAAUUUUGUGAUCAGCUUUGGGCAUUCAAACACCUCCAACUUCUCUAAAUGAGGGAAUAAGAAAUCAUAACAUCCGAGACUGAAGCAUACAAUUCUUGAUAAUUGUUCUAGCAACAGCACCUGCAGAUUCGGGAGCUCCAUCACCUUCUCAACAUUGACAGGUUCAGAAGACUUGGAGACACAGAGACAGGGAAGACAUAUUCCAGUUUACCACAGUAACUUAUAGAGAGACUUCUUAAUUUUGGGAAGCAAAGUGACUCUGUAGUUAUUUCCCUUGCAUCAUCUUUUUCUCUGAUAAGAUGCUUCAAUUCACCGCAACUACCUAUGUUAAGGCUUUCUAGCUUUGGCAGACUUUGAGCGAGGGACAGUGUGAAGAUAAAUAUCAAUUUGUUGAGAGAAAUCAAAUUCAGAUGAGCAAGAUUUUGAAGGCUGACAUGGUUGGCGGGCCCUUCCAUAAACAUUUGAGCUCAGGUAACUUGAUCAGCUGUAACUCUGUAAAAGAUGACAGCUCCUUCUCCUCACUGCUUCCUUCAUCAACCUCACCCAAUUCAAAUACCUCUUCCAAUGAUUUGCAGUCGCAAAUGUGCACACUCCUUAGAAUACUUGUCUCAUAGUUGAGUUGGUUAAUGUAUGUUGAUUGAUCAGAAGGUAGUGGGUUCAAGCUAUACUAGGAAUAAUAUUAUGUUUUUUCAAAUUACUAGCAAAGGCGUGUGGGCUUGUCUAAGGCUCACAUGCACGUGCCUGAGUUUUGUUGUAAUAGGACGAGUCAUGUGUUUGGUUUUUUUUUUUUAUUAGUCAUUUUAGUUUUUAUUUUUUUAAUAUAUUUUUUGAAUUUUAUUUUUUAA